AGGCCUGAGGAAAGUAGCCGAUUUUUCCAGGCUAUCGAGAUUUUCCAGUGACUGCACGUCAGCAAUAGGUAUCAUGUAAAAGAAUACCAGAGCGAACACAGAUAAUGAUAUAAGCAGUUUUCUGAUGAUGAGAGAAACAAAUGGUAUAGCUAGAUUCUUCCAGUAAACAUCGCGUGGCUCUUGUGCCCAGUAAGUUAACUAGCGUGUUGGGUUCCUACUUUGCUGAGUUUGAGCACAAAUAGCAGCCAGCCCAUCUCGAGUCAAAUGAAACAAAUGCUACAGGCAUGAUAGACUUUGGAU